UGGGGAAUAUUGCACAAUGGGGGAAACCCUGAUGCAGCCAUGCCGCGUGUGUGAAGAAGGCCUUCGGGUUGUAAAGCACUUUCAGUAGGGAGGAAGGGGCGAUGCCUAAUACGCAUUGUCAUUGACGUUACCUACAGAAGAAGCACCGGCUAACUCCGUGCCAGCAGCCGCGGUAAUACGGAGGGUGCAAGCGUUAAUCGGAAUAACUGGGCGUAAAGCGCACGCAGGCGGUUAGAUAAGUCAGAUGUGAAAUCCCCGGGCUCAACCUGGGAACUGCAUUUGAAACUGUCUGACUAGAGUCUUGUAGAGGGGGGUAGAAUUCCAGGUGUAGCGGUGAAAUGCGUAGAGAUCUGGAGGAAUACCGGUGGCGAAGGCGGCCCCCUGGACAAAGACUGACGCUCAGGUGCGAAAGCGUGGGGAGCAAACA
rnacentral:rRNA from 1 species